UACCCUAAUUUUCCUAGUUUGAAACACAAACUACUAACAACUUGAACAGCUAGCAUACCUGUCCUUGUGCUUUACCAAAACCAACAUGCCAUCAGUUCUUGCAUAUAAUCCUGUUAAAACUUAAAACAGCUAGGCCUAGGGCACUGUCUAUGUAAAACAGCAAACGUUUAGACAAUCUAUUGAAAUUCUUUGACUUUCAACCUCGCGAAUACUACGCACGGGUUUGCU